UACGAAGGGGGCUAGCGUUGUUCGGAAUUACUGGGCGUAAAGCGUAUGUAGGCGGAUCGUUAAGUCGGGGGUGAAAUCCCGAGGCUCAACCUCGGAACUGCCUUCGAUACUGGCGAUGUUCGAGUCCGGGAGAGGUGAGUGGAACUCCGAGUGUAGAGGUGAAAUUCGUAGAUAUUCGGAAGAACACCAGUGGCGAAGGCGGCUCACUGGCCCGGUACUGACGCUGAAAUACGAAAGCGUGGGGAGCAAACAGG
rnacentral:rRNA from 1 species